AACCGGCCAGCUCGCUCCCGUGCCCAACUUUGCCACGGCACCGUCCGUGCGUGACGCCGCGACACUCCUCUUCUCUACGCUGUGCUGCCCUUCCUCCUUCUGCACGUGCCCAUCCCUCCUCUCCUCCUCAGACCACGCCAGCCUUCCUGCUCACGCUUGAGCUCGUCACCGCAGCCUGCCAUGGCCACCGAGAUCCGCUCGGCGGUGAACUCCCACUUCCGGUCAUCAUCUCCGACAACCAAAGGCUAAAAUCGACUUUCCUCGACUCAUUGAUGCUCGUGCUCUCCUCGUUCCAGCGCGUUCCGCGAGUUUCCGCGCUCGUUCCCGAGCCAUGCCACCGCCGGCAUGCUGUUGCUCGCCGCGAGCCGCGCGCACGCGCCUCUGUGCCGCGCCGCCGAGCGCCUCCACUCCGCCCGGCCCUGCUGAACCCUCCCAUGGCCGCCCCAUCACCAACCUGUCUCGCCGCAGGCGAGGGUGCUGCCGCCAUUGCCGCUCGUGCUGCUGCUCCCGUCGCCGGCCCUCCUCCGGCCACCUCGGCAUCAACUGAGACCACCCAGAGUUACGAUAGAUGAACCAUAUGAAGGACGUGCUAUUGGAGCCGAACCCGAAGACGAUGUUGGUGGACAUAUCCUGAAGACGGAUGGAUGGAACCUGAUGUGCAUGACCAAAGAAAGAUGCUCGCCAAGCGAGUAUUAUCUAACUAACACUGACUUAGUGUUAAUCCCAGGCAAGCCCCGGUGCACAUCCUAUUAUUUCAAAUUUAUGACACCUAUAUAUGUUUCUAUUACUUGUGCAUUA